rnacentral:lncRNA from 1 species
AACUAGUUAAUAUAUGACCAAACAACUCACUAAAAAUUUAAAAUAAAAAAAAAAAGAAAUUGGGCCAAAGAUUGGGUCGGACCCUUUCCUGACCCGAUCCGCCUCUGCAACUUAAAGGGGAACAGAACAAACCCUAGAGGAAUAUGACCAAACGAACGCCUCCCAUUUUUGAACCUCUUCUUCGUGCAAUGAAAAAAAAAACAGCGGUGAAAC